AAUCCAAAAUAUUGUACUCUAAAAGCACCAGAUCCUGUCUGAUUUUGAAACUAAAUAGGGUCAGACCUGUUUGAUACUUGGAUAGGUGACUGCCAAUGAAUCCUAGAUGCCAGGAAUU
rnacentral:rRNA from 11 species